CAGGCGGAACAGCGCAGCGUCCCGUUUCCCGUCUCCGGGGUCGUUAGCUUGGUCGAACUGGCGAGUGAGACAACCGACAGCAGAGGCCGCUACGUGUUUUCAUCUGCACCCUAAAGGCACGACCCACGUUCCAGUCAAUGGGAGGAUUGUCAUUUUUGCUGUAAUGCCUGAUUUUGGUGUGAAAGCGGCCCAAGAGAGCUAUUCGCCUGGGGCUAAGCAAGCAACCCCAUUGCCACAAUCCUGGCACAUUCAAAAGCGGACGAAACCCGACUUCAGCCUCGGGCUCCAGCGUGGGGUUGGCCUUGAAUUUGCGGGGUUAUCCCCUUGAAAAUAGACCAAACUCUUGGCUAGAAGUCGUCCGUGUGAAACAAGGCAAAAGUAAACAAUGGAAUUUGCAUCA